UGGUGGAGUGAUCUGUCUGGUUAAUUCCGUUAACGAACGAGACCUCGACCUGCUAAAUAGUUCGACGUACCCCUCGGGGUAUGGACGCGACUUCUUAGAGGGACUAUCGGUUCUUAGCCGAUGGAAGUUCGAGGCAAUAACA
rnacentral:rRNA from 1 species